ensembl:lncRNA
UGGUUAGUCAUCUGUUUAAUUCUCUUGCUGCAGCAUGUCAUUUGGAUGUUGAAGGAAAAUCCCUUGAUUCACUCUGCCAUUUCUGACAGUCUCCCUCUAGACCACAUUAAUAAGCUUUUUAGAGAAGUGAAUGCAGAAUAAUCAGCAGGCAGCCUGAACUCAAAAUGGAGACAGAACAGACAGCAGAAAUGCCUUCUUCCCUUUGUAGUUAUGGUGCAUAGGUGACCCUUUUCUCACAGAACAGCAAAUAAUUUAAACUAAGAUUACCUUUGAAAGCCACAGCGUAAUUAACCAUUUUAUGCAUGUGAUGGCUGCCUAGCUUCAAAACCUGAUGCUUUGUAAAGGAAAAGAUUCAGCUGCAUUUGAGUUAGAUUUAUGAAACAUGCUAACAAUAGAGCAGACAGAUAGAAAGGCUGCUUGGCAUCCUGGAAUACCUGGGGAAUUUCACUCAGAAAACAAACAUGUUACUCUUUAAUGUAGGCUCACAUCUCAUUAUAAUAUCACAAGUCGAAUGAGACACACUUCGCCUUUGUAACUGUGUUGCCAGGAGGCAGAUGAAAGAAAUAAGCACAGUUUAAAAUUAAGCUCAAGAUAUUCACAUACAGACAAGAAAAGUGAAAGAACAUUAAGAGGAGAAGGGAAAGAAUGUAAUCCUGUGUGAUGUGGUAAGAUGGAUAGAUGAAAGGAAUCCUUAUGUAUCAACAGCAGCUACCAGGAAAGAGGACUGGAUCACACUUACCCCACAGAGGGACAAAGAGAAUAGGACACAACAGUGAAGACCCUGACAGGAUCAUGCUUAAGCGGGAUGGUUAGCUGCUGUCCAGCCAGUGACAGUCACAAUCUCCAGAGCAACAGUGACUCCAGCUGGAUUGAUUGAAAGUCCCUGAAGCACUUUUCAUUGGAUCCUUACACCCAAAUGGCUCACGGUUCUAUAUGAUCAGUUCUACAUCUGCAAGAACGCUACCCACUGAAUAUUUACAAGUGUGGUUUCCAUGUACAAUUUCAUCAGUUCUAAGGCUGGAAAUGUCUGGAGGAGUUUCUUUAAUGAUCAAGGUCUCCACUCAGGAUAUUAAUACAUUUAAACGUGCAGAUAGGCACUAUCUAAUAGUGUCUAUGGACUAGGUACAACAUACCCUGUCUAUCCCUUCUGAAGAGCCCAUGUGUAUGACAGUUGUGAGAUUCAUCCCACCAUGUUUCCUGAUAGCAACCAGAUCAAAAUUUUCCAAGCACAUCAUGGUUUUCAACUCCUCCUGCUUAUCUUCCAUGCUGUGUAUUAGUGUAAAGGCUUUGAUCUAGGACUUAAACUGAUCUUUUUACCUAGACAGCUUGCAAAAAUAUUACUUUGUUUAUCUUCCUACAUGAUAUCUUCUAUGCUCUUUUGUACUAGUAGAUGAAUAAAGUUGGUAUAUAUGCUGAAGUCCUAAUACUCUGCUUUAGGUAUGGUAAAACAAAAUCAGACAUCAUUUGCUAUCCCAAUUCUGAGGACCACUCUGAAAAUAAUUCCUCCUAUUUUAUUAUGUUGGCCCACAACUUCAGAAACAGAUAUUGGUGCCUUGCAGUCAGAUCUUCCCACCAGUACCCCAUCUUGUUUCCAUGCAACAGAUGACAGCAGAGGAGCAGUCUGACAAAAUGGCAUCUGACAUGGAAGUGUAUAUGAAGCAAAGGUGUGUCAUUAAAUUCCUGCAUGAGGAAAAAAUGGCACUCACUGACAUUCACUGAUAGUUUACUGAACAUUUUUCAAGACCAUACAGUGGAUGUGAGGAUGGUGAAGUGGUGAGUGGUACAAUUCAGCAAUGAUGCCAUCAUAGCAGCUGUGAAGCAGUGGGUCACCUCCACUGGUGCAGAUUUUUACAACCACAUCAUGCAGACUCUUGCUUUCCACUGUCUAAAAUAAGACAGUGGAAAGCAAGUGGUGACUAUGUUGCAAAUGAGUGCUUUGAAUACAAGUGUUUUGUAGCUGAGAUUUCCUCUAUCAAAUAGCAUUAUUGUGCCCUUUGUUGCAGUUUCUAUGGAAAUUAAUAGGAAGCAUUACUUUCAGAGCUACCUACGUACAACCAUUUCAGAUGUAAUUCUUUUGAAUUGCAAGUCUACCUGUUCAAGACUACCCUAUCGCUCAAGUAAAAAAAAAAAAAAAAAAAGAAAUACCUGAGCAAAACAAAUUGGAUUUGGUCUGUGGUUUCUGAAGCAUCACAUGGAGGGAAAUUUUCUUGUACUUACUUUUAUUUAUUUAGUUAUUUUAAAUUAAUGACUUAACAUCUAUGAGUCUUGAUCAGAACUCUUCAGCCUCCAGCUGAAUGAAAUUGUUGUUCCUUGCUUAGAAUAACCUGUUGCUUAAGACAAAGCACAAGCUGGCCUCCUUCUUAUUGUAAUUAACUUCAUUUUAUAUUAAUCAAGCAUGGCUGUUUCUUCUGAUAGUAUAUAAUAAAGGGAUAUAGUCAGUUUUUUAAUUGUAUUGCUGUUUUGCUUUGAUAUAUUUCAAAUACAAAUAACACAAAACAUACUUAUAAAUUAAUGUUAUUUGGUAAUAUUGGAACCAUUUCCAAGUAUAGAAACAUAAGUAAUGAAAUUACCUUAAUUCUAAUGCAGACCAAUAAAACAGAAAGUAAUCUUAUUAUGAAUUACAUACAGUGUUUUAGGAUGAGCAAAGAUUACUAUUUUGGAAGAUUGUAUUAUAUUUUUUGAGCUAACCUCUGCAUUUUCUCAGCAAGAACUUAUUUGGUGUAAAAGACACAGUUUAAAAAUAGUGUGUUAUGAAACAGUCAUUUUUUCUUGCCCUUGCACAUCUCUAAUUGACUAACUACUUUAACCUCACCUUCUAAAUGUGGGAAGGCUACUGAGAAAAUGAAAAUGAUUUUCCCAAAAUCUAAAUUGAGAGGAAGAUGACU